rnacentral:rRNA from 1 species
GAUGAACGCUAGCGGCAGGCCUAAUACAUGCAAGUCGAACGAUACCAAGAGGCUUGCUUCUUGGAAAAGUGGCGCACGGGUGCGUAACGCGUAUGCAACCUACCUUAAUCAGGGGGAUAGCCCGAAGAAAUUCGGAUUAACACCGCAUAAAAACACAGGAUAGCAUUAUCCAAUGUUCAAAUAUUUAUAGGAUUGAGAUGGGCAUGCGUGUCAUUAGCUAGUUGGCGGGGUAACGGCCCACCAAGGCGACGAUGACUAGGGGAUCUGAGAGGAUGACCCCCCACACUGGUACUGAGACACGGACCAGACUCCUACGGGAGGCAGCAGUAAGGAAUAUUGGUCAAUGGAGGCAACUCUGAACCAGCCAUGCCGCGUGCAGGAAGACUGCCCUAUGGGUUGUAAACUGCUUUUAUACGGGAAUAAACCUCUGCUCGUGAGCAGAGCUGAAUGUACUGUAAGAAUAAGGAUCGGCUAACUCCGUGC